AGACAUGGCUCUGCAAGCAUGUCUCCUUAGUGUGUGUGUGUGUGUGUGUGUGGCAUUUGUCAGCUCAGCCUUUUAUGAAAAGAUGUGACCCUGGACGGAUUGAAGGUCUUCCCUUAAGACAAGAAGCAUCACAACGUGAAGAAACGACAGCUUUUGUUAUGCUGUCUGGAGGACUAAUAGCACAAUUUUACGAUUACGCCCAGCUAAAACAUAACGGACUCUGGCAAUCACUCACCUUCCUCGGCGGCGGCUGCAUUUUGGAGUAUUGACAUGAAUGGUUGUUCCCUUGCGAGAUGUAUUGUAAUUCCAAUAGGAAAUCCAAAUCAGUGUGGGACUAAUAUUUUGUCUCCAACAAAAAAUCCUCCCCUCCAGACGACAGGGAGGAAAGACGGGAGUUAAAUUUGUACUCCGGCGGCCAUGAUUGAUGAUAAAUCGCUAGUUUGUACAGAGCUGAAACUGAAGCUCCGAGGAGACGCUGAACACACUUGUGCUGGCUGCUGCCACUACCAGAGGACUAGUGUGUACUGUACUGUGUUGUGAAGCAAGAGAGCAGACAAGCGGAGAAGAAAAAGCAGAGGGAAGGGAUGGGAGGGGGGGGCGGUAUUAACGGGGAACCCCUUCAGCAACUACCUAGCUAAGCUCAACGGCUCCCCAACGUGGCGAACCACGAUAUAGCGUCCUGUCUGUGAUAACAACACUGGGAGCGGAAAGACAUCCUUUUUGUUCUGCCUCCUCUCGCCUGCAGUCGACAGUAACCUCGAUUAACACUUACGCAAAGGUGUUUUAAAGCAAAUAAGGGGACAAGAAGGAUGAUAACUGCAAAAUGGGACCCUUUAUCUACUGAGCAUUAGGGGUUUUCUGAGCUGGCCGCCAGCCUGCUCAAGGAGAAAAGAGUGACUGACCGGUGGAGAGCCUGUCUGCGUCCUGCAGACCUGCAUAGCAACAAGAAACCGCAGUCGAUCAAGGAAAAAUCGAUCGCGUACAGCAGACAUAUAGUACAGCUGUCUUUAUACAGUCUGUGCUGUAGAUUAGUAUUUUAUAUGCAUGUAUGUACAUGGAAAAAUAAAUAAACAAACAAAACACA